GAAGAAGGCCUUCGGGUUGUAAAGCACUUUUGUCCGGAAAGAAAUCCUGAGGGCUAAUAUCCUUCGGGGAUGACGGUACCGGAAGAAUAAGCACCGGCUAACUACGUGCCAGCAGCCGCGGUAAUACGUAGGGUGCGAGCGUUAAUCGGAAUUACUGGGCGUAAAGCGUGCGCAGGCGGUUUGUUAAGACCGAUGUGAAAUCCCCGGGCUCAACCUGGGAACUGCAUUGGUGACUGGCAAGCUAGAGUAUGGCAGAGGGGGUAGAAUUCCACGUGUAGCAGUGAAAUGCGUAGAGAUGUGGAGGAAUACCGAUGGCGAAGGCAGCCCCCUGGGCCAAUACUGACGCUCAUGCACGAAAGCGUGGGGAGCAAACAGGAUUAGAUACCCUGGUAGUCCACGCCCUAAACGAUGUCAACUAAGUUGUUGGGGGAUUCAUUUCCUUAGUAACGUAGCUUACGCGUGAAAGUUUGACCGCCUGGGGAGUACGGUCGCAAGAUUAAACUCAAGGAAUUGACGGGGACCCGCACAAGCGGUGGAUGAUGUGGAUUAAUUCGAUGCAACGCGAAAAACCUUACCUACCCUUGACAUGGUCGGAACCUUGGAGAGAUCUGAGGGUGCUCGAAAGAGAAC
rnacentral:rRNA from 1 species